rnacentral:rRNA from 1 species
CCCGCACAAGCGGUGGAGCAUGUGGUUUAAUUCGACGCAACGCGAAGAACCUUACCAGGGCUUGACAUCCCCUGACCGCGUAUGAAAGUACGUUUUCACCCUCGGGUGACAGGGAGACAGGUGGUGCAUGGUUGUCGUCAGCUCGUGUCGUGAGAUGUUGGGUUAAGUCCCGCAACGAGCGCAACCCCUAUUGUUAGUUGCCAUCAUUCAGUUGGGCACUCUAGCGAGACUGCCGGUAAUAAACCGGAGGAAGGUGGGGAUGACGUCAAAUCAUCAUGCCCCUUAUGACCUGGGCUACACACGUGCUACAAUGGUUGGUACAACGAGUUGCGAGUCGGUGACGGCGAGCUAAUCUCUUAAAGCCAAUCUCAGUUCGGAUUGUAGGCUGCAACUCGCCUACAUGAAGUCGGAAUCGCUAGUAAUCGCGGAUCAGCACGCCGCGGUGAAUACGUUCCCGGGCCUU